UUUUUUUUUUUUACUUGGUGCACUUUCUGGUUGACGGGUCAGCAUCAAUUUUGAUCACUGGAAAAAGGCUUGAGAAAUGUGGCAGCUCCGGCUGUGUUAUAGUCUUGGGUCACAUACAGUGAUUGGGAUUGAGGAACUCAGCACGCCGCAAGGCCGGGUUUCGACCACGUUCGUGCUUAGGAUGCUGGCAUAAUGGCUUUAAGCGACCCGUCUUGAAACACGGACCAAGGAGUCUAACAUGCUUGCGAGUGUUUGGGUGGUAAACCCGAGCGCGUAAUGAAAGUGAAAGUUGAGAUCCCUGUCGUGGGGAGCAUCGACGCCCGGACCAGAACUUUUGGGACGGAUCCGCGGUGGAGCAUGUAUGUUGGGACCCGAAAGAUGGUGAACUAUGCCUGAAUAGGGUGAAGCCAGAGGAAACUCUGGUGGAGGCUCGUAGCGAUUCUGACGUGCAAAUCGAUCGUCAAAUUUGGGUAUA
rnacentral:rRNA from 1 species